rnacentral:rRNA from 1 species
UACGGAGGUGGCGAGCGUUGUCCGAAGUUACUGGGCGUAAAGCGCGCGUAGGCGGGCUCUUAAGUGAGAUGUGAAAGGCUGGGGCUCAACUCCAUGCAGUGCUUCUCAUACUGGGGGUCUUGAGGGCGGUAGAGAGAAGUGGAAUGGCUGGUGUAGCGGUGAAAUGCGUAGAUAUCGGGAGGAACACCAGUGGCGAAAGCGGCUCUCUGGGGGCGAUCUGACGCUGAUGCGCGAAAGCGUGGGGAGCAAACCGG